rnacentral:rRNA from 1 species
AAGCUUGCUUCUUUGCUGACGAGCGGCGGACGGGUGAGUAAUGUAUGGGGAUCUGCCUGAUGGAGGGGGAUAACUACUGGAAACGGUAGCUAAUACCGCAUAAUGUCCCAAGACCAAAGAGGGGGACCUUCGGGCCUCGCACCAUCAGAUGAACCCAUAUGGGAUUAGCUAGUAGGUGGGGUAACGGCUCACCUAGGCGACGAUCCCUAGCUGGUCUGAGAGGAUGAUCAGCCACACUGGGACUGACACACGGCCCACACUCCUACGGGAGGCAGCAGUGGGGAAUAUUGCACAAUGGGCGCAAGCCUGAUGCAGCCAUGCCGCGUGUAUGAAGAAGGCCUUCGGGUUGUAAAGUACUUUCAGUCGGGAGGAAGGUGUUAAGGUUAAUAACCUUGGCGAUUGACGUUACCCACAGAAGAAGCACCGGCUAACUCCGUGCCAGCACCCGCGGUAAUACAGAGGGUGCAAGCGUUAAUCGGAAUUACUGGGCGUAAAGCGCACGCACGCGGUUUAUUGAGUCAGAUGUGAAAUCCCCGGGCAUAACCCGGGAAUUGCAUCUGAUACUGGUCAGCUAGAGUCUUGUAGAGGGGGGGUAGA